rnacentral:rRNA from 1 species
CCUACGGGUGGCAGCAGUGGGGAAUAUUGCGCAAUGGGCGAAAGCCUGACGCAGCGACGCCGCGUGAGGGAUGAAGGUCUUCGGAUCGUAAACCUCUGUCAGCAGGGAAGAACGGUCACUGUGCUAAUCAGCAGUGAAUUGACGGUACCUGCAAAGGAAGCACCGGCUAACUCCGUGCCAGCAGCCGCGGUAAUACGGAGGGUGCGAGCGUUAAUCGGAAUUACUGGGCGUAAAGCGCUCGUAGGCGGUAUGUCAAGUCAAGGGUGAAAUCCCCGGGCUCAACGUGGGAACUGCCUUUGAAACUGGCAGACUGGAGUGUGUGAGAGGAAAGUGGAAUUCCAGGUGUAGGGGUGAAAUCCGUAGAUAUCUGGAGGAACAUCAGUGGCGAAGGCGACUAUCUGGCACAUAACUGACGCGGAGGAGCGAAAGCGUGGGUAGCAAACAGGAUUAGAUACCCCGGUAGUC